rnacentral:tRNA from 1 species
GCAUCCACGACUGAAUGAUUAAAGCACCUGACUCAUAAUUGGUAAAUUCGUAGGUUCAAUUCCUGCUGUACGCA